UACAACGGGAUACCCGAGGGAAACUUCGGUUAAUACGGUAUAAGACCACACUACCGCAUGGUAGAGGGGUAAAAGGGGCAACCUGGUAUGAGAUGGACUCGCGUCGCAUUAGCUAGUUGGUGAGGUAACGGCCCACCAAGGCGACGAUGCGUAGCCGACCUGAGAGGGUGAUCGGCCACAUUGGGACUGAGAUACGGCCCAGACUCCUACGGGAGGCAGCAGUGGGGAAUAUUGGGCAAUGGAGGAAACUCUGACCCAGCAAUGCCGCGUGAAUGAAGAAGGUCUUCGGAUUGUAAAGUUCUUUAGUCAGGGAAGAAGUCAAUGACGGUACCUGAAGAAUAAGCUCCGGCUAACUACGUGCCAGCAGCCGCGGUAAUACGUAGGGAGCAAGCGUUGUUCGGAAUGACUGGGCGUAAAGGGUGCGUAGGCGGUUGUACAAGUUAGAAGUGAAAUACCCAGGGCUUAACUCGGGUGCUGCUUCUAAAACUGUAUGACUUGAGUGCAGUAGAGGUUAGUGGAAUUCCUAGUGUAGCGGUGGAAUGCGUAGAUAUUAGGAGGAACACCAGAGGCGAAGGCGGCUAACUGGACUGCAACUGACGCUGAGGCACGAAAGUGUGGGGAGCAAACAGGAUUAGAUACCCUGGUAGUCCACACUGUAAACGAUGGAUACUAGAUGUAGGAGGUAUCGACUCCUUCUGCGUCGCAGU
rnacentral:rRNA from 1 species